rnacentral:rRNA from 1 species
UACGGGGGGGGCAAGCGUUGUUCGGAAUUACUGGGCGUAAAGGGCUCGUAGGUGGCCAACUAAGUCGGACGUGAAAUCCCCAGGCUCAACUUGGGAACUGCGUCCGAUACUGGAUGGCUUGAAUUCGGGAGAGGGAUGCAGAAUUCCAGGUGUAGCGGUGAAAUGCGUAGAUAUCUGGAGGAAUACCGGUGGCGAAGGCGGCAUCCUGGACCGAGAUUGACACUGAUGAGCGGAAAGCCAGGGAGCAAACGGG